rnacentral:tRNA from 1 species
CAAAUUAAAGUUUGUAAUAAAUAUUUCAUUUACAUUGAAAAGAAAUUGAUUUAGUUCAUUUAAUUUGA